ensembl:lncRNA
GGGGCGGUGUACGAGGGGGGGUCAAAGAAGGGAGGGAAGGUAUUGCAUCCAGAUGGAGAAGAUAAAGCUUCACACUGAAUCCCUCCUCUCUCCUCCUCCACCUACCUCCUUACUGUGUUUCCUCCCCCCUCGUGUGCGUCUCUCUGUGUGUGAGUGUGUUUCUUUGCUGUCCUCAUCUCGGUUUGCAGGUUAUUGAGGUUCUUUUGGACGUAGACUCUUGAAACAGAACUCUGCAAUGAUGGAACAUUUGAAAUUAAGUACAAAGUUGUUACUGCGGCUGCUUUUUCUGGAAUGUAAUAAAUUGAAUUGUCAAGACUUUGAACGAGGAAUAUUCAAAUUAGAUUUUAUUCUACCUGAUUUCAGAUAAAGGCGUACAACUUCCAAGAACAUCUGGAUGUGACUUAAUCUGCAGUCUAGACUUUGGUUUGGGCUUAAAAUAAUUCCCGUCUUUACAGGUGGCGCUGGUGAUGUUUGUGCUGGAUGUUGUGUUGCUUUUUCAUGCUUCUUGGACCAGCUGGCUUCUCACUCGUCAUCCCUUCUUCUAAAAGGACGAACGAGGUCCUGGAGGCGGCGACACAAAGAGCAACAGAAGCGACGCUAACAGAAGCUCGUUGAGCGGCGCCCGUCUGCUCCACACGGUUGAAAUGCUCCUCCGAUGAAGCUGCUCAGAGGAACGAGGAGCUGAGCUCAAGGACUCGCGUGGAAAAGCUUCCCGGGACGACGCGACUUCACAGAGGAAAAAACGCUUUUCCAUCAGCGCUGCUUCGGAAAGUUUAAAACCCCCAAAAGCAAAACCUUCUCUCCUCAGUAAUGUUUGAGAGGCUUUAAGGCUGUGAAUGCUGUGGACAAAAUCAAGUCCUUAUUGGAAAAAUAAAAGGAUUUUCUUUAUAAAAUUUGGGGGUGGAGCCUAAAUGUUGUUGAGGACAACGUAAAAGCAGCGACGUGUGACUUAGAACUCGUAGGUGAGGGUUCAUUUAACGGGAAAUGGCUUUAGAGUACGAUAAGGGUCCAACAUCUAGAGCACCGGCCCCCAUUGACUCCCACCUUUAACGUAACACCACAAAUAAAAGGGUUUUGGUUUCCUCAGCUGAUAUUCCUGUUCACGCACGUUUCAAACAUCAAUAAAGAAACUUCAGUGGGAUUUUUGUAUGUUACUGAAAUAAGUAUUCUAAAGAAACAGGUCCGACUGUUUGAGUACCUACUUUGUUAGAGAAUACACAAAUACAUGAAACACCAGAAACUCAAUCAGAACAAAUGCAAAGAUGAUCAUUUGCAAACAGCAGGUAAUUAACAC